rnacentral:misc_RNA from 1 species
AAGUCGUAACAAGGUUUCCGUAGGUGAACCUGCGGAAGGAUCAUUAUUGAAUAAACCUGAUGGGUUGUCGCUGGUCUCUUUGGAGGCAUGUGCACGCCUGUCGUCUUUAUAUCUCCACCUGUGAACUUUUUGUAGAUCUGAAUAAUGUUGUCCAAGGCAACUUGGGUUUAGGAGACUGCUGUUGCCACAACCGGCCGGCUUUCUUCACACUUUCAGAUCUAUGUUUUUCAUAUACACCAUUGUAUGUCUACAGAACGAAUCAAUGGGCAUUCAUUUGCCUAUAAAACAUUAUACAACUUUCAGCAACGGAUCUCUUGGCUCUC